CAGACAGCAAUAUGGCAAGAUGGCGGUGGGCCAUGUCACUGUGGACACCAUGUAUGGUGGCAUGAGAGGCAUGAAGGGACUGGCGUAUGAAACAUCAGUCCCUGACCUUGAUGAGGGCGUUUCCAAGGAUUUAGUAUCCCUGAAUGCCAGAAGCUGCUGCCCAGCGCUAUGGGUGGGGAAGGACCCCUGCCUAAGGGCUUAUUUUGGCUGCUGGUAACUGAACAGAUCCCAACAGAGGAACAGGUAUGUUGGCUCUCAAAAGAGUGGGCAAGGAAGGCUGCUGUGCCUCCCAUGUGGUCACCAUGCUGGACAACUUUCCCCCCAGUCUACACCCCAUGUCUCAGCUCAGUGCAGCCAUCUCAGCCCUCUGCAGUGAAGGUAACUGUGUCCGAGCAUGUGCAGUAUCAACCGAGCCAAAUACUGGGAGUUGAUAUCAUAUCAACUCUAUAGAUCUGAUUGCAAAGCUACCUUGAGUUGCAGCAAAGAUCGACUGGAAUCUCCACCGGGGGGCAGCAGUUGGGGCCAUUGACUCUAAGCUGGCCUGGUCCCACAAGUUCACCAAUGUGUUAGGCUAUACUGAUGUGCAGUUCACUGAGCUCAUGCACCUGCCCCUCACUACCCACAGUGACCAUGAGGGCAGCAGUGUCGGUGCCCAUACCAGCCACUUGGUGGGCUGUGCCCUUUCACACCCUUACCUGUCCUUUGCAGCAGCCAUGAACAGGCUGGCAGGACUUCUACCUGGACUGGCAAAUCAGGAAGUGCUUGCUUGGCUAACACAACUGCAGAAGGAAGCUGGCAAAGAGGUACCAGAUGAGAAGUUACUCGACUACAUCUGGAAUGCACUCAACUCAGGACAGGUUGUUCCAGGCUGUGGUCAUGCAGUACUAAGGAAGACUGAUCCACCAUACACCUGUCAGCGAGAGUUUGCUCUGAAACAUCUGCCUAAUGACCCCACGUUUAAGCUGGUUGCUCAACUAUACAUGAUUAUGCUCAAUAACCUCUUAGAACAGGGCAAGGCCAAGAAUCCUUGGCCUGAUGUAGAUGCUCAAAGUGGGGUGCUGCUCCAGUACUAUGAUGUGACAGACAUGAAUUACUACACAGGUGUAGUCCGGGGUGUCAUGGGCCCUGUGUGUACUGGCACAGCUCCUCUGGAGCCGGCCCUAG